rnacentral:rRNA from 1 species
UACAGAGGUCCCAAGCGUUGUUCGGAUUUAUUGGGCGUAAAGGGUGCGUAGGCGGCGGAGUAAGUUGGGUGUGAAAUCCCGGGGCUCAACCUCGGAAUUGCAUUCAAUACUGCUUCGCUCGAGUACUGGAGAGGAGGCUGGAAUUUACGGUGUAGCAGUGAAAUGCGUAGAUAUCGUAAGGAAGGCCGGUGGCGAAAGCGAGCCUCUGGACAGUUACUGACGCUGAGGCGCGAAAGCCAGGGGAGCAAACGGG